AUUUUAUUUUUCCCCAAACAGUUUUUCUGGGAGGUCGAGGAGUUAGAGAGUUGUUACGAAGAAUUCCUUCUAUAGAAGGACAAUAAAUAUACAAGCAACAUGUGAAAGUCCUGUUGUGUAUAGGCCAGAGGAAUGUGGAAUAUGCGUACUGACGGGGUGUUUGGAGCCCAAGGGAGGACAACUGAGGAAAGAGGCUGGACUGAUGGAAAUGCUCUUCCCUACAGGAGAAAAAUACAUUGAAGAUAUUUUUUUCUGAAAAAUUGAUAUUCUGACCAGCUUCCAUUUAUUUGAUCAGCCCUCGUAUUGAGGUCUUGGCAAGAGCCAGAAGAGGAAAGUUGCAUUUUAUGGAGGAAAAUGAGGUUAGGUAGGUGAAACUUUUUUUAAAUUGUAAUGGGAAAGGAGGUGAAGCAAUUGACGGUUAAGAAGAAGAGCUGGCAGUUUGACUUGUUUCA
rnacentral:lncRNA from 1 species